AUUGAACGCUGGCGGCAGGCCUAACACAUGCAAGUCGAACGAGUGGCGUACGGGUGAUUACUGUCUGGGAAACUUCCCGAUGGAGGGGGAUAACUACUGGAAACGGUAGCUAAUACCGCAUACCAUCUGAUGUGCCCAGAUGGGAUUAGCUUGUUGGUGGGGUACCGGCUCACCAAGGCGACGCUCCCUAGCUGGGCUGAGAGGAUGACCAGCAACACUGGAACUGAGAAACGGGCCAGACUACUACGGGAGGCAGCAGUGGGGAAUAGUGCACAAUGGGCGAAAGCCUGAUGCAGCCAUGCCGCGUGUAUGAAGAAGGCCUUCGGGUUGUAAAGUACUUUCAGCGGGGAGGCGUUACCCGCAGAAGAAGCACCGGCUAACUCCGUGCCAGCAGCCGCGGUAAUUC
rnacentral:rRNA from 1 species